rnacentral:tRNA from 2 species
GCGGGAGUGAUGGAAUUGGUAGACAUACUGGAUUUAGGUUCCAGCGCUUUCAACGGCUUAGGAGUUCGAGUCUCCUCUCCCGCACCA